GAUGAACGCUGGCGGCGUGCCUAAUACAUGCAAGUCGAGCGAACAGAUGAGGAGCUUGCUCCUCUGACGUUAGCGGCGGACGGGUGAGUAACACGUGGAUAACCUACCUAUAAGACUGGGAUAACUUCGGGAAACCGGAGCUAAUACCGGAUAAUAUAUUGAACCGCAUGGUUCAAUAGUGAAAGACGGUUUUGCUGUCACUUAUAGAUGGAUCCGCGCCGCAUUAGCUAGUUGGUAAGGUAACGGCUUACCAAGGCAACGAUGCGUAGCCGACCUGAGAGGGUGAUCGGCCACACUGGAACUGAGACACGGUCCAGACUCCUACGGGAGGCAGCAGUAGGGAAUCUUCCGCAAUGGGCGAAAGCCUGACGGAGCAACGCCGCGUGAGUGAUGAAGGUCUUCGGAUCGUAAAACUCUGUUAUUAGUGAAGAACAAAUGUGUAAGUAACUAUGCACGUCUUGACGGUACCUAAUCAGAAAGCCACGGCUAACUACGUG
rnacentral:rRNA from 1 species